UGAGAUACCAAUUUAUAUUUGGUUGUCAUGUCUCCUGAGGCUCCUCUUGGUGGUGACAGUUUCUCAGACCUUCCUCGAUUUUUGAAGACCUUGACGGUUUUGAGGAGUACUGCAAAAUUGCAAAUUACUGCUUGGAAGAGACCUUCAGGAAAGUACAUUAAAUAUUAAAUCUGUCAGUGAUGAUGUAGACCUACCCGUUCUCAUGAAACACAACCAGUCAUCUGAGGGACCUGAGACUUGAAGCCCCAGAGACAAUAAAUAUACAAAUGGACAAUGACCAGACUAUAUAUGACAACAGAACUCUGACCUACAACCUCUGCAGCAACUCAUCGUGGAAGCCAAACCAGCCUGAAACAGUCCUGGUGUAUGACUGCCAGCUUCCUUGUUUUUGGUCCCUGCUUUCAACUCAGAACCAAAAAGAACAAGCCAAAUAUGCUCCCUAAAUCAAUCACAAAAGAUGCCCUCUUCAGCUUAGGCUGACUCCAGCUUCCCCAUACCAAUAGCCUCCAGUCAGGGCACACAUGAAGCCUUCCCUUUGUUUGUAC